ACACUCCUGCGGGAGGCAGCAGUGGGGAAUCUUGCGCAAUGGGCGAAAGCCUGACGCAGCCAUGCCGCGUGAAUGAUGAAGGUCUUAGGAUUGUAAAAUUCUUUCACCGGGGACGAUAAUGACGGUACCCGGAGAAGAAGCCCCGGCUAACUUCGUGCCAGCAGCCGCGGUAAUACGAAGGGGGCUAGCGUUGCUCGGACUUACUGGGCGUAAAGGGAGCGUAGGCGGACAUUUAAGUCAGGGGUGAAAUCCCGGGGCUCAACCUCGGAAUUGCCUUUGAUACUGGGUGUCUUGAGUAUGAGAGAGGUGUGUGGAACUCCGAGUGUAGAGGUGAAAUUCGUAGAUAUUCGGAAGAACACCAGUGGCGAAGGCGACACACUGGCUCAUUACUGACGCUGAGGCUCGAAAGCGUGGGGAGCAAACAGGAUUAGAAACCCGAGUAGUCCCAUGAU
rnacentral:rRNA from 1 species